rnacentral:tRNA from 1 species
GGGGGUACAGCUCAGUGGUAGAGCAUGUGCUUAACAUGUGCUUAGCAUGUGCGAGGUCCUGGGUUCAAUCCCUAGAACCUCCA